GAGGAAUAUUGGGCAAUGCCCGCAAGGGUGACCCAGCAACGCCGCGUGGAGGAUGAAUGUCGUAAGAUUGUAAACUCCUGUUAGAGGGGAAGAAUAGUACCGGUUGGACCGGUAUAUGACUGUACCCUCAGAGAAAGCCCCGGCUAACUACGUGCCAGCAGCCGCGGUAAUACGUAGGGGUCAAGCGUUGUCCGGAUUUACUGGGUGUAAAGGGCGCGCAGGCGGGAUAAAAAGUCAGUGGUGAAAUCCUACAGCUUAACUGUAGAACUGCCUUUGAUACUUUUAUUCUUGAGUUCGGGAGAGAGAGACGGAAUUCCAGGUGUAGUGGUGAAAUACGUAGAUAUCUGGAAGAACACCAGUUGCGAAGGCGGUCUCUUGGUCCGACACUGACGCUGAGGCGCAAAAGCGUGGGGAGCAAACA
rnacentral:rRNA from 1 species